CUCCCCUUCUCUAUCUCUUCCCGCUCUUCUCUCUCCUCUCUCUUCGUUGACACAAAUAGAAAAUCCACAGGGUUCCUUUCAUGGUCACAGGCCAUGCAUGGCCGAUUCGGGAACGAGAAUUAAUGCCUUGUACCUUCCAUCACCAGGCUUUGAAUCCGAGCAUCGCAAUGCCCGGAUUUGAGACUGUUCGAGUGUGAAUCGGAGACUCCGCACCCUGUUCGCUGCACUCGCAAAAGGUCAGUGCGAUCCCCUUUAGUCCGAUUUGAUUUUUGAUGUGUAUUCGCGAUUCAUUAUUUGUGUGUGUAAAAAUGCCUUUAGUCUACGUUCAGAUUAGUUUAGUUCGAAUAAGUAUGCUAGGUUGCUGAUUUUGUGGUGUAACUAUCCCCUCCCGUUUUUUUUCAUCUUUGGUUUCAGUUCUGUUCUAUGAAAAUGUGGUAAUCAGAUUAGUUUGGUUGAGUUUCAAUAUCAUAUGUUAAGGUUUGGGUUGAGAUAUUUAAUUUUCUGCUUGGUUCAUGAAAUAAGGCAUUUACACUCUUCGUUUUGUUUACUUAAGGAAUCAUGAAUAAGGCUGUGUUAAUGUAUAAAUUCAGGAUUUGGUUCAGUUUGUUUUAGCUUAAAUGUGUGAGACUGAGUGCAUGUUAUUAGUUUAAACCUACAUUUGGUUCCGUUUUAAUCCUACAUCUUAUUUUAGUAUUGUUUCCAAUCUAAGUAUGCUGCUUCAAUAGCCUUGCUACCCUUCUUUUGAUUCUGGAUUGAGGCGAGAUUAGUUGAUAGUUAUGUAACAUAAAUCAGAGCUGUAAAAAACUGUAUUGUCAAACUAAUCAAUCACUAAGCUGGUCUACUUCUUGACUGGAGCAUGAGUAAAAGACAUUCUCUAACGAAAGAUGAUCUUUUUUUUUAAUACCUCUGUUAAUUCCUCUCUUCUAAAAUUUCAGAAUGUUCUAUCUUAGUUAUCUGUCCUGCUGUCAACCGUAGCUAAGUCAUAUUGAGUAAGAAAAAAUGCAUGCGGUUUGGAAUUGCUUAUUCAACCCUUUGAAGCUUGAGUGUUAGAAAUAAAAAUGUUCUAGGUAUCCUGUCAUGGUCAAUAGCUUUUAUUAUUUGGGGAACAUUGGGUCUGAGUCCUUACAUAGAAUCAAGUCUCUGGUUUUGUUUGAAUUCUUUAAAGAUUAUUUGCUUUCCCUUUUUCCGAAGGUGUAACCUAGUCCUUGAAGUCUAUUUCAUUCUGUGAACAUGCUGUUGGAAUUUCAUGAAUGCUGUGUCGUGGUGCCGUGCCUGUUUAAAUUCUGAUAUGUUUGUGCAUGGCAAGUAUAUUGUAUUUUGAUUAUGUAUAUGCAUACCUUAGUUAAUACAUUUAUAGGGAGAUUAGUGAGUCAUUACGGAUUAAGCUCGAACCCUCCCCGGUGUUAGUCAUGCCUGGGAUUCGUGAAAUCCCUCGGAACUUGUGCAAUAUCGGGAAGAUGGGGGCAAAAACUUUCCGAUAUUGACCUUCUAUACAUCCUUAUGAAUGUGUAUACAUGAGAUAUACCUAAAUAUACACAGCAUAUACAUAAUCUUUGAUCUGUUUUUUUUUUUUUGAAAUUUUAUCUUUACAUGUUCGUCCUUAUUCUUUUGAUUAUAUUCUAAUCCUUUUCCUUUCAUUUUUUGCAUGACCACCGCACACGAGUCCGAGGGACUCGUUCGUCUCCCAUAUUCGGUGUUGGGCUAAAAGCCCAACGAAAUCUUCUCCGUGUCCAGCCCAUACGCAGCAGUUUUGCAUAAAAUCUCUGUUGGGUCGAGGCCCAACAGCAGCAAAACAGAUCCGCAGCAGCUUUUUUUUGGGCUGAGCCCAUUUAGCUUAUUGGCUCUUCUAUUUUAUUUUUGCAUUUAAUUUGUAUUGCAUGAUUAACUCUUUAUUUUGUUUUGUUUUCUUAACUUAGAUGAAUUCUAGUAAAUUUAGUGGGGUUUAGUUUUAGUCAUGGGUAGUUAAUUAAGAGAAACUAAUAUUAAUUCCGUAAGUUUCA